GAAGUGACGGAGAGCUCUGCGCCGGCUGUUCCAGGAACGGAAGCGCAGACCCAUCGGAGGCCUCUCGCUGCUGUGGGGCGGCUUUGCUCUCUGUGUCCCCGCCUGGGCGAGGAGAGAAGAGUGGACAGGGUGUGGCCAGAUGAGGCCUCCGGUUCCGGAAGACUGAGUGUCGAUGUCCCGGCCCCUUGGUGGCGAGGGAGGACUCGGCUGCUCUGAACUGCACGAGGAAGGCCGACCGCUUGCCCCGAGCAACCCAGACAGGGCUUCGCUUCUAGAGCUAGACUGAUGACAGCCAACGAGCAGCUUGCUGCUAGCAACCUAGACAGCUUGAUUUAACUUGGCCCUGUGUCUGCAGUUAAAGUUUUGAUGCAAGUGCGUCUGGGCCAGGCCGGUUGAUUUCAGAAGACUGCAGAGGCCUGGCGGUAUAAGCCAAAGAGAAUUCUUCCUGGAGCAUGGCUAAAGUUGUCCGUGAGAAGGAAUCAUCUCUUUGGCCUCCUCAUCCCCCUCAUCCUCCACAAGGACAAAAGGACACGGCCCAGGAGGCCACAGACACUGAAUCUCUGUUUGGAUCAAGUUUAGAUCAUCUCGUUCACACGGGCUCGGCUCACGGCCCAGCCCAGAUCAGUGUGGGAGGUGCUCCUCGAGGGUGUGGAUCCAAGGAAGCGUGAAACUCCAGGGCUGCUGCUGCAAUCCAUCCAUCACACCGCGUCUUUCAAGAAGUAUUUUCCUAAGCGAAGACUGUUCCUUCUCUAAGAGGCAUCCUUGU